rnacentral:rRNA from 1 species
AGCAGCCGCGGUAAUUCCAGCUCCAAUAGCGUAUAUUAAAGUUGUUGCAGUUAAAAAGCUCGUAGUUGAGUUUCGGGGUCAGUAGGUUGGUCGUGCCACUGGUAUGUACUGGUCUCACUGAUUCCUCCUUCUUGUAGAACCGUAAUGCCAUUAAUUUGGUGUUGCGGGGAAACAGGACUGUUACUUUGAAAAAAUUAGAGUGUUUAAAGCAGGCUAACGCUUGAAUACAUUAGCAUGGAAUAAUGAAAUAGGACGUUCGAUCCUAUUUUGUUGGUUUCUAGGAUUGACGUAAUGAUUAAUAGGGAUAGUUGGGGGCAUUAGUAUUCAAUUGUCAGAGGUGAAAUUCUUGGAUUUAUUGAAGACUAACUACUGCGAAAGCAUUUGCCAAGGAUGUUUUCAUUAAUCAAGAACGAAAGUUAGGGGAUCGAAGACGAUCAGAUACCGUCGUAGUCUUAACCAUAAACUAUGCCGACUAGGGAUCGGAUGAUGUUAAUUUUUUAAUGACUCA